UCCCACAGCAGACCUGCUCUGGCAUUGGGAAGAGCCUUCAAAUCAACUAUUAAGAUGUUCAGAGACCUGAAAAACAAAGCUUUCCUAUGCCUCUAGAAGAGGGUACAAAGGAUACCCAGUGUUGCCAGAAAGAUCCUGCACAGUGUGGAUGUGGGUCUGCCAAGCUGGGGCAGAGGAGACAUAAGACACAAAUCUGGCCUGAAGAAGCACAGUGAAAAACACCACCAGGUACUGCGAUGUAAUUGGACAACACAAAGUCUGGGAGUUAGCACAUCUUUCACAGUGGCAACAGCUCAGAUGUACCACAUGAGAUAACAUUUUGCUGCUUGGAUCUGGGCAAGCCUCAGUUACCAGCCUCUAGUCAACAGCUGACACAUCGUAAGUGUACUGAGAGGUUGCAAUAGACCAUGUCCUGGGAUGCUGCAGUGAUGGAGGUGAGAUAAGGAAUACUUUGUAAAACAUUCAUACAAAGCAAACUUGACUGCUGUCAGCUAUGGCAAAUGAAGGUAACUGGCCAGAAACAAGUUUGUAACCAUGCAUUGACUCCCCUCAGCAGCACCCGACCAGCAUGAAGCCAUCUUUCCUACCUGUGAAUCAAUGGUGGCACUCAGAAAAGGUUUAUUAUU